UACGUAGGGGGCAAGCGUUGUCCGGAAUCAUUGGGCGUAAAGCGCGUGUAGGCGGCUCGGUAAGUCUGCUGUGAAAGUCCAGGGCUCAACCCUGGGAUGCCGGUGGAUACUGUCGAGCUCGAGUCCGGAAGAGGCGAGUGGAAUUCCUGGUGUAGCGGUGAAAUGCGCAGAUAUCAGGAGGAACACCAAUGGCGAAGGCGGCUAUCUGGACGGUUUCUGACGCUAAGACGCGAAAGCGUGGGGAGCAAACAGG
rnacentral:rRNA from 1 species